ACACUGCUGAGGAGUUCCAUACUAGGACGAAACUGCAAUCCAGUGU
rfam:Schistosoma mansoni strain Puerto Rico chromosome 3, complete genome